rnacentral:misc_RNA from 1 species
GAUGAAGAACGCAGCUAAAUGCGAUAAGUAAUGUGAAUUGCAGAAUUCAGUGAAUCAUCGAAUCUUUGAACGCACAUUGCGCCCGCCAGUAUUCUGGCGGGCAUGCCUGUCCGAGCGUCAUUUCAACCAUCAAGCCCCCGGGCUUGUGUUGGGGACCUGCGGCUGCCCGCAGGCCCUGAAAACCAGUGGCGGGCUCGCUGUCACACCGAGCGUAGUAGCAAUCACCUCGCUCAGGGCGUGCUGCGGGUUCCGGCCGUUAAACAGCCUUACAAAACCCAAGGUUGACCUCGGAUCAGGUAGGAAGACCCGCUGAACUUAAGCAUAUCAAUAAGCGGAGGA